CCUACGGGAGGCAGCAGUGGGGAAUAUUGCACAAUGGGCGAAAGCCUGAUGCAGCAACGCCGCGUGAGCGAUGAAGGCUUUCGGGUCGUAAAGCUCUGUCCUCAAGGAAGAUAAUGACGGUACUUCAGGAGGAAGCCCCGGCUAACUAUGUGUCAGCAGCCGCGGUAAUACGUAGGGGGCUUGCGUUAUCCGGAAGUACGGGGCGAAAGGGGUGCGUAGGUGGUUUCUUAAGUCGGAGGUGAAAGGCUACGGCUAAACCGUAGUAAGCCUUUGAAACUGUGGAACUUGAGUGCAGGAGAGGAGAGGGGAAUUCCUAGUGUAGCGGUGAAAUGCGUAGAUAUUAGGAGGAACACCAGUUGCGAAGGCGGCUCUCUGGACUGUAACUGACGCUGAGGCACGAAAGCGUGGGGAGCAAACAGGAUUAGAUACCCCUGUAGUC
rnacentral:rRNA from 1 species